AUUGAACGCUAGCGGGAUGCUUUACACAUGCAAGUCGAACGGCAGCGCGGACUUCGGUCUGGCGGCGAGUGGCGAACGGGUGAGUAAUGUAUCGGAACGUGCCCAGUAGCGGGGGAUAACUACGCGAAAGCGUAGCUAAUACCGCAUACGCCCUACGGUGGAAAGCAGGGGAUCGUAAGACCUUGCACUAUUGGAGCGGCCGAUAUCGGAUUAGCUAGUUGGUGAGGUAACGGCUCACCAAGGCGACGAUCCGUAGCUGGUUUGAGAGGACGACCAGCCACACUGGGACUGAGACACGGCCCAGACUCCUACGGGAGGCAGCAGUGGGGAAUUUUGGACAAUGGGGGCAACCCUGAUCCAGCCAUCCCGCGUGUGCGAUGAAGGCCUUCGGGUUGUAAAGCACUUUUGGCAGGAAAGAAACGUCGCGGGCUAAUACCCCGUGGAACUGACGGUACCUGCAGAAUAAGCACCGGCUAACUACGUG
rnacentral:rRNA from 1 species